CAGCACCCCAAGUGGUCAGGAUGAUUAUUGGGCCUAAAGCAUCCGUAGCCGGCUCUGUAAGUUUUCGGUUAAAUCUGUAUGCUCAACAUACAGGCUGCCGGGAAUACUGCAGAGCUAGGGAGUGGGAGAGGUAGACGGUACUCGGUAGGAAGGGGUAAAAUCCUUUGAUCUAUUGAUGACCACCUGUGGCGAAGGCGGUCUACCAGAACACGUCCGACGGUGAGGGAUGAAAGCUGGGGGAGCAAACCGGAUUAGAUACCCGCGUAGUCC
rnacentral:rRNA from 1 species